CAAGGAAUCUUCCGCAAUGGGCGAAAGCCUGACGGAGCAACGCCGCGUGUGGGAUGACGCCUUUCGGGGUGUAAACCACUUUUCUCAGGGAAGAAGUUCUGACGGUACCUGAGGAAGAAGGACCGGCUAACUACGUGCCAGCAGCCGCGGUAAUACGUAGGGUCCGAGCGUUGUCCGGAGUUACUGGGCGUAAAGCGCGCGCAGGCGGCGGUGUAAGCGUGGCGUGAAAGCCCCCGGCUUAACCGGGGAGGGUCGUCGCGGACUGCACCGCUUGAGGGCGGUAGGGGCUGGUGGAAUGCCUGGUGUAGUGGUGAAAUGCGUAGAGAUCAGGCGGAACACCCGUGGCGAAGGCGGCCAGCUGGGCCGUCCCUGACGCUGAGGCGCGAAGGCGUGGGGAGCGAACG
rnacentral:rRNA from 1 species